rnacentral:rRNA from 1 species
GAGUUUGAUCCUGGCUCAGGAUGAACGCUGGCGGCGUGCGUAACACAUGCAAGUUGUACGACGGUGCCAUGAAGUGGAGACACGGAGUGGUAUACGGAGUAGCGGACGGGUGAGUAAAGCAUGAGGAGCUGUCCUGUCGAGGGGGAUAACGUUCGGAAACGGACCCUAAUACCCCAUAGUCCGAGAGGUUAAAGGCAGAGAUGCGCGACGGGAGGUACUCGUGUCCUAUCAGCUAGUUGGUGAGGUAACGGCUCACCAAGGCGACGACGGGUAGCCGGCCUGAGAGGGUGACCGGCCACACUGGAACUGAGAUACGGUCCAGACUCCUACGGGAGGCAGCAGUGGGGAAUAUUGGGCAAUGGGAGGAAUCCUGACCCAGCGACGCCGCGUGAGCGAAGACGGCCUUCGGGUUGUAAAGUUCUUUUAUGUGGGAAGAAGGAAGUGACGGUACCACAUGAAUAAGCCCCGGCUAACUACGUGCCAGCAGCCGCGGUAAUACGUAGGGGGCGAGCGUUGUCCGGAAUUACUGGGCGUAAAGGGCACGCAGGCUGUGCUUCAAGUCAGCUGUAAAAGGAUGCGGCUUAACCGUGUUAUGCAGUUGAGACUGAGGUGCUGGAGUACCGGAGAGGCAAGUGGAAUUCCCAGUGUAGCGGUGAAAUGCGUAGAUAUUGGGAAGAACAUCGGUGGCGAAGGCGACUUGCUGGACGGUAACUGACGCUGAGGUGCGAAAGCCAGGGUAGCGAACGGGAUUAGAUACCCCGGUAGUCCUGGCUGUAAACGAUGAAUGCUAGGUGUGCGAGCAGAGAUGUUGGUGUGCCGCAGUUAACGCGAUAAGCAAUCCGCCUGGGGAGUACGUACGCAAGUAUGAAACUCAAAGGAAUUGACGGGGACCCGCACAAGCGGUGGAGCAUGUGGUUUAAUUCGACGCAACGCGAGGAACCUUACCAGCGUUUGACAUCUUAGGAGUGAGAUAGAGAUAUUUCAGUGUCCCUUCGGGGAAACCUAAAGACAGGUGGUGCAUGGCUGUCGUCAGCUCGUGUCGUGAGAUGUUGGGUUAAGUCCCGCAACGAGCGCAACCCCUUUCGUAUGUUACCAUCAUUAAGUUGGGGACUCAUGCGAUACUGCCUACGAUGAGUAGGAGGAAGGUGGGGAUGACGUCAAGUCAUCAUGCCCCUUAUACGCUGGGCUACACACGUGCUACAAUGGGUAGAACAGAGAGUUGCAAAGCUGUGAAGUGGAGCUAAUCUCAGAAAACUAUUCUUAGUUCGGAUUGUACUCUGCAACUCGAGUACAUGAAGUUGGAAUCGCUAGUAAUCGCGAAUCAGCAAUGUCGCGGUGAAUACGUUCUCGGGUCUUGUACACACCGCCCGUC